UCUCCGUAGGUGAACCUGCGGAGGGAUCAUUACAGGGUUCUCGCCCUCGCGGGUAGAUCUCCCACCCACUGUUAUCGUUACUGUGUUGCUUUGGCGGGCCGCCGGGCCCCGCCCGGCCGCCGGCUCCGGCUGGCGCGCGCCCGCCAGAGGCCCAGCAAACUCUGAAUGUUAGUGUCGUCUGAGUACUAUAUAAUAGUUAAAACUUUCAACAACGGAUCUCUUGGUUCUG
rnacentral:misc_RNA from 1 species